CUAAUACCCAAUAUGCCUAUGGGUGAAACUUUUUUGGCCUGAAGAUGAGCUCGCGUCUGAUUAGCUAGCUGGUGGGGUAAGAGCCUACCAAGGCAUCGAUCAGUAGCUGGUCUGAGAGGAUGAGCAGCCACACUGGGACUGAGACACGGCCCAGACUCCUACGGGAGGCAGCAGUGGGGAACUUUCCGCAAUGGGCGAAAGCCUGACGGAGCAAUACCGCGUGAGGGAGGAAGGUUCUUGGAUUGUAAACCUCUUUUCUCAGGGAAGAAUUUUGACGGUACCUGAGGAAUAAGCAUCGGCUAACUCCGUGCCAGCAGCCGCGGUAAUACGGGGGAUGCAAGCGUUAUCCGGAAUUAUUGGGCGUAAAGAGUCCGUAGGUGGUCAUGCAAGUCUGCUGUCAAAGCCCACAGCUUAACUGUGGAUAGGCGGUGGAAACUGCAUGACUUGAGUACGGUAGGGGUAGAGGGAAUUCCCAGUGUAGCGGUGAAAUGCGUAGAUAUUGGGAAGAACACCGGUGGCGAAAGCGCUCUACUGGACCGUAACUGACACUGAGGGACGAAAGCCAAGGUAGCGAAAGGGAUUAGAUACCCCUGUAGUCUUGGCCGUAAACGAUGGAUACUAGGCGUUGUCUGUAUCGACCCGGACAGUGCCGAAGCUAACGCAUUAAGUAUCCCGCCUGGGG
rnacentral:rRNA from 1 species